CACGUAGGGCGCAAGCGUUGUCCGGAAUUAUUGGGCGUAAAGAGCUCGUAGGUGGUUUGUUACGUCUGCUGUGAAAACCUAGGGCUUAACCCUGGGCUUGCAGUGGAUACGGGCAGACUAGAGGUAGGUAGGGGAGAAUGGAAUUCCUGGUGUAGCGGUGAAAUGCGCAGAUAUCAGGAGGAACACCGGUGGCGAAGGCAGCCCCCUGGGUCAAGAUUGACGCUCAUGCACGAAAGCGUGGGGAGCAAACAGG
rnacentral:rRNA from 1 species